CAGACGGUGCGCGUCGAACAAAAGAAAACUUCGCGAAGUAAAGAUCGCAUCGCAGCUGCAGAGGAGAAAAAGUCGAAAAAGUGCAACAUUUUUCUUUUCAUUCGCAAAAGUGGUGUGGAAAAUCCAAUUUCUGCUUGAAGAUCACCAGCAUUUUCGUCCGCUUUAGUGGUUGGAGUUGAAAAGUUGCAUCGGGAAGUGGUAAAGGUCACGACUACUAUCGACAGGAUGUGCGGAGGUUUCAGCUGUUCCAAAAAUGCCCUGAUUGCAUUGAACAUCCUCUAUGUGAUGGUUGGCUUCCUGCUGAUCGGGGUCGGCGUUUACGGGCGCGCCUCCUCCAUCGUCACCAAUCUCCCGAUAAUCGGAGGAAUUCUGGCUUGCGGUGUCAUUCUGAUUUUGAUUUCGGUUCUCGGUCUGAUCGGAGCUGCCAAACACCAUCAGGUUAUGCUGUUCUUCUACAUGAUAAUUCUGUUCAUGCUGUUCCUGAUUCAGUUCUCGAUCGCUUGCUCUUGUCUGGCGGUGAACCAGGAACAGCAGCGACAGUUUGCCGAGCAGGGCUGGUCCCUGGCACCGGCGGACAUCAAACAGCAGGUACAGGAGGAGUUCCUCUGUUGUGGUUUUAACGCGACUGCUACCGAUGAUCAUCCGUCCUGUGCGGCGGUGAAUACGAAAUGUUGCCCGGAAGGAGCUCCGGAGGGUUGCCAGUGUACCCCAUGCAUGCCGAAGCUGGAGAGUACCAUCGACUAUGCGUUCCAUUUGUCCGGCGGUAUUGGACUGUUCUUCAGCUUCACCGAGUUUAUCGGUGUCUGGCUGACCGUGCGCUAUCGCAACCAGAAAGACCCCCGGGGUAACCCGAGUGCUUUCCUCUAAGAUUGGGAGGACCCCGUAACUGAUCUUUAAGAGAACUAGUUUCGUUAGCUUUCGGUUCAAAAUUAUUCUUUUCUGUUCUCAUGAGUUUUGUUGGAUGGAAAGUGGUUAGCACACCUCGGGCGAAGGAGCGAAUUUGAUGAUCAUUGCCGUGUUUCUCACCCGUCGUUAUCGCAACCAGCAGGAUCCGGAUCACCUGCCGGCGAGGGCUAUUUUCCCCCAAAGUAACUACGUGUACUGAGGAGAGGAAAAUGAUCAACGGUAGGAUAAAUUUUCCGAAAAAAACAGACAGAGUUCAGGGAAAGUCAGACUGAUGCAUGCUGGUGAUAGUUGAUCGGAUAUAUGUAGGGGGUACAGGGUUCGUGAGUCUUUGUUUUUAUCCUCUUUCCCCCCUCGAAAAGUGGCUGGAAUAACCAAAAAAAGAGAAAGGAAUUAAGAUCACGAAUAAUACUCAUUUUGUCGCUCUUUAGUAGGAUGGUUAAUUAAAUCGGGAGAACAAUGGUUGUGCUAAUUAUUCUAAAUCCAAUGUUCACGCUAGCUUUAUUUUAGUUUCUUCAAUUAUUUUACUAGAAUAUUAGAUACGAUAUAUUUUACAAUGAAAAAAGCUCGAAUGUCUGUCAUAAUUCGAAAAUUAUUUUAAGUAGUCUUUCUUUUUGUUAAAAGUAACAAUUAUGUCUCUAAAUAUGUGAUACCAAUAAUUUUACUGAUGUGAGAAAAAUGAAUGCUUUAUCACAUUAGAAAUUUUCAACACUUUUUUGCACUAGUUUGAUCUGUUUGACAGCUAUGUCACUUUCGGUCCUCACUGCUGUCAGUUAGUUGAAAUAGACAGUCAUGAUAUCGGAGAAAAGAAAUCUUUCACAGUUCAAGUGAAAAACAACAUUCAACACAAGAAAAGUGGUCGCAAAAAUCCGGUAUGUCCUUUGCUUCACUGGCGUAUACGUAAAUAUAAGGAAACAUUUUAUUUUUGACAUAAACAAGCAGAAGUUUGUUUUUUUUGUUGUUAUUUUGCAAAAUAGCCUGCGGGACUGCUCCAUAUGAAUGCUCUGCGCAUUCAAAUCGUUAAAAAAUCGCAAGGCCAACUAUGAUGCCAGUUGACACGUGCUUUCAAUGGGAGGCUGUCUCUUGAAGGUAACGAAACAAAACAUCGAUUCUGGAGAAAAUUUUCAAUAGGACGUAGGUAACAUUGAAAGUAUUACUUUAAUUUUUUAUUCUUUCGCAAUAAAACUUUUCGCUAAUUUUCCAACACAAAUGGAAACAGGACAGUUACAAAUGUAGGAAAAAUAACGAUAACCCGGAAUUUAGCCGAAAGAACUCAAUUUUGGGCAGUUUUCGUAUCCGGAAUUGUUACGCAAUCCCGUUGAAAAUGUUCUCUAGAAUUAUCUAAAUUUCAACCUAAAUAACAAACGCUAAAUAUUUUGAUUUACCCAUGCCACUCGAAGAAACAAAUCUCUUUUCGUUAAAGCAAACCGUUUAUUUCUUAAACUACAAAAAAUAAUAUAAUUCACUGUAAUCUACACAUGAUCACUAUUUAUUCAUGCAUUUUUGCAACCCUUAUCAAUAAACAAAUCAUACACACACGCAAUAUAUAUAAUUGAGUGUAAUCAACUCAAAGGCUAUAUAAUAAAACCAUUUAUGAUAACACAUACGAGAAGUGCUUUCGUAGGGAAAUCAUCGUUAUCAAAGCAGUAGGCAUAUGUACAAUUGUAUAGCUUCCGUUCACUUCUGUCCAGUCAGUCCAAAAAGAGUCCAGAGGGAAUUGAAGGAAUGUUAGUUAAGCGUUAGAGGAGUGUACGGGAACUAUUUAUCUGUUAGCGUAUCUCUUUCGUAGGAUCCAGCCUAACGUCGCUGACGCUCUCUAAAUGCUCCCAUCUCAUCCACAUUUACUUGAUGAUCUAUGUACUAAACUGCUGUAAACAAGUUGACAGAAAACAGGAGAAGUUCAGCUACCUUGUAUAGAUGUUGUUCGCUGUUGUAACUUGUAAUCUUGUACCGUCAUCGCCAACAAUAUACGUGUCACUUCUUUGACGAUUGAUUUGCUUAUUUUCGGUUGACGAUAUGGACUACUAUCCAAUCCAGAUGUAAAUUAAAUACAAUGAAGGUAUCCAAUUCAAAAUCAGUGUAAAUGUGGUAGCUGGAGUCUAUGAAACUAGAAAUAUAUAGUAAAUACAAAACUAAGUAUUUAAGGCCUGUAA